UUUGUUUAUAGUUUUACAAGUUUCACUUUCACAAAACAUAGUUUUGAAUGUGCUGCAAAUGUUUUCGUUUUCACUUUCCAAGUUUUUGUUUGCGAUUCGCAAAUUUACGUUCUCCAUUUUGACACAAACCUCUCGUGAGGGGCGGGCUUAACAGCGGUUCGCUCUUAUUGGCUUGUGAGAUUUUGAUUGACAGCUCAUUGAACCGGAACCCCGGAACAGAAGGUGGCGGUAGUGCACCAAUAAGCUGGAUCCCACCCGCUGUUAAAAAUAACAAGAAGAAGACGAUCGGACGCUGUUUAUCAGCGGAGCUGCAAGUAGUCUAAACAAACGGUAAUAAGAGUAUAUUAAAGAACAUUAUUGAUAAUACACGGAUAUUUUACACGUCAGCAGAGGAAUUACAAUAGUUCAAGAUGAGUAAUCGAGAGGCUCACGGUCCGGAGCACCAACACCAUCCUCCUCGGCCGGACAAUCGAGGCAGCCUGAGGACCAAAGAGUGUAAUUUCUCCAGGUAGGCACUGAACCAUCUCAUGUUGUUCUCUGUAUAUAAAAUACCAAUUUAAAGGGGCUUUGGUAAAUUUUUAGGUUUUUUUAGUUUAUGGUUUUAUUAGAUUUGAAAUGUAACGAGUUCAGCAUAGAAUUCAUGUUAGCUAUUUCUGCAAGAACAAGCGUGAGAACAUAUUUUGCAGCGAAUGUUUAGUUUAAAUCAAUUUUAAUUCAAAUCAAUUAAUCUUUAAUGCACGUUUACAAGAGCACUGUGCUACAUAAGGUUAAAAUGAAGCCUUGAAAGUGGUAGUCAUGUUUGCUGUUACUGGUGGGACAGAAAGCUCUCUUUGAAAAGAUAACAUUUUAAAGAUCUUUACCUGUGUUCAGAAGAUGAACCAAAGUCUUAAGGGUUUGGAACGACAUGAUGGUGAGUAAAUGACGACAGAAUUGUCUUAUUUAGGCGUAUUAGCAGCACUCUAAAAAUGCAUAUCUGCACCACAUCUGGUAUUAUUCAGCCUACCUGCCCUUAAUUUAGGAAUGCCACUAAUUUGGUUUCCAUAAUACUUCACAUGAUGAUUUACUAUGGACAGACAUUGCUUUUUUAUAAGCUACGAUUUGACCAUACUUUUCUCUUCUCUUUUUUUGAGCCUCUAUGGUGUGAUGUUUGGUCAGCUGUCUCUUGUACUAUGAAGAACUGCAAUGGAAGAAGAGACAGUGCUUGAUUCGGCAGGUGAACUGCACCUAUAUUAUGGUGGAGGAAAUUGUUGACAAUGUCACAGAGGAUGAUGGUGUGGUCGUGCCAGAGAUCUAUUUUCCUUUGUCAGACCAAAAGCCUUUGAUAUCACCAUUGAAUGUCUAGGAGUUAUACCAACAGACACUUGAUGUCAUCCAAAGACUGUGCUCCAUUUAAUUGUAAAAGUCAUUUUCAGGUUUACAAGAUACAAAAGCUGGUUCACAGAUGUACCUUUCCUUUAAAACUAUUUCCCACCUGUAAUCACAAUGGAGACACAUCUCUGACUGCUGGGCUUCCCCUCUUAUUGUGUUCGGAUUCAUAUGCAUCUGCAGGGUUAUUCAUGGCAACACUUUAUAGCGUUGUGCUGGUAAUUUAUCUUUAUAUAUCAUGCCUUCUCACUACAUCUGUCAGCCUGUGCUUUACAUAUCUGAGAGUCAA